rnacentral:lncRNA from 1 species
CAUUCAGAGAUUACGUAACGGAACAAAAGUUUUCGACGGUUAUAAACGAAAAAUCACAAUUUAACAGUUAUUUUAGCUCCGAUUUUGAUGAUUUUUUUACAGAUACACUCCUCGACCCUAUGAGAAUUUAAUGAAUAAAUUUCAUCUUUAAUUUAAAGUAUUUACACUAGUGGAUAUUUUAUACUUAAUAGAAGUAUAAUAUUAACUCCAAGUGUUUAUUUAAUCUACCGUUUUGACGCAAUAUGCAUUCUACGAAACUUUUUUCAACGAUCUAACCGUCAAACUUAUUUGUACACAUUCCGAGAUCGCAUACGUAAAAAAUCGUAAAAAACAAACAUUCAGAGAUUACGUAAUGGAACAAAAGUUUUCGACGGUUAUAAACGAAAAAUCAUAAUUUAACGGUU